GGGGGAGCAAGGAGCCCGCGACCCCUCCGGCGCGCGUGCGCGGUGCGGCCCUCACGCACACCACCGCCGCCACCCCUGGCCGCCGAGGCCUCCGCGACGCCUGUCUCGGCUCCGGGAACGCGGCGGGCGGGCGGCAAAACCCGGUCUGGAAGGGGGUGGGGAUCACACGGCGUGGCUUAAAGGCCCCGCUCCGGCGUCCUCCACCAGGCUGGAGAAGCUGCCGAGUUCCCAGGCGGGGCCCCGGAGGCAAAGGCUCGGCCGAGGGCAAAGCCAUGUCUGCGGUUGCCAGGACCUGAAGAUGUAUGAGCGACCUGAACCGUCUCUGGAAAAGUCAUAUUUUCCAGGCUUUCGUGAAGUAGUCAUCGCUCCUGUUCUAAAUCUGGAGGCGGCUGCGUAUCUAUUUCAGUGAGAGAGGAAGAUGUAAAAACUAGACCGGACUCGGGGAAACGUGGGCAGCGAGUGGGGUUGGAUCGCGCCUGAGGUCCACUCAGUCCCCGUGACUCCUCAGACCUGGGUGUCUUCAUCAGCUUAGGAAUUGGCUGAAGCAAGUCUCCAUAUUUUGAAGCUCAGGCCCCUUGUGUUGCAACAGGAGUGUCGUUGGUCAUAUCGGGCAUCCUCCUCCAGAGAACUGAAGAACACCCCUCCGGAGUCAGGAUGACCUGAGGGCUACACAAGGCUCAUUUUUCAUUCCCUGUGCCAUCUGGCUCCGGCAGCCACAAGACCUUUCUGGGCCUGAAUAACUUCAUCUGUGCAAUGAAGAAGUGAAACAUGGUCACAUCCACAUGGCAGUAGGCUCUGUCUCCACCACCAUGGCCAAGCGCCACCUCUGAGGAGCUAGGAGCACCCAAAGGACCCAGGACCACAGACUAUGACCAUGUCUGUGCUGGAGUGAGACCACUAGAAGAUAAUAACCACGUUCUUCUCAUGUAAAACCAGGGUUCUGCUCGAGCAACCCUUCUAGCAGCCCUACUUAGGAGGCAGAAGCAAGAUGCUCUUAAGUUU
rnacentral:lncRNA from 1 species